AGAACGAACGCUGGCGGCGUGGAUAAGACAUGCAAGUCGAACGGGAUUACUUUUGUAGCAAUACAGAAGUAAUCCAGUGGCGAACGGGUGCGUAACACGUGGGCAAUCUGCCGAAAAGUGGGGGGAUAGCUCGCCGAAAGGCGAAUUAAUACCGCAUGUGGUGAGGGACGACAUCUUCCUGAAUCCAAAGCCGGGGCGACCUGGCGCUUUUUGAGGAGCCCGCGGCCUAUCAGCUUGUUGGUGAGGUAACGGCCCACCAAGGCUUUGACGGGUAGCUGGUCUGAGAGGACGACCAGUCACACUGGAACUGAGACACGGUCAGACACCUACGGGUGGCAGCAGUCGAGAAUUUUUCACAAUGGGGGCAACCCUGAAGGAGCGACGCCGCGUGGAGGAUGAAGGCUUUCGGUGUAAACUCCUGUCAUUUGAGAACAAGGGCCAACUUAACUACUUCGGCCUUGAUAGUAUCAAGAGAGGAAGGACGGCUAACGUCUAGUGCCAGCAGCCGACGGUUAA
rnacentral:rRNA from 1 species